AAGGAGUCUAACAUAUAUGCGAGUAUUUGGGUGUUUUAAACCCCAUAUGCGUAAUGAAAGUGAUAAGGUGGGAUAAACGUAAGUUUUGCACCAUCGACCGGUCUGGAAUCAUCUUUAUGUGAAAGAUCUGAGUAAGAGCAUAUCUGUUGGGACCCGAAAGAUGGUGAACUAUGCCUGAAUAGGGUGAAGCCAGAGGAAACUCUGGUGGAGGCUCGUAGCGGUUCUGACGUGCAAAUCGAUCGUCAAAUUUGGGUAUAGGGGCGAAAGACUAAUCGAACCAUCUAGUAGCUGGUUCCCUC
rnacentral:misc_RNA from 1 species